rnacentral:rRNA from 1 species
UACGGGGGGAGCAAGCGUUGUUCGGAUUUACUGGGCGUAAAGGGCGCGUAGGCGGUCAGCACAAGUCAGUUGUGAAAUCUCCGGGCUUAACUCGGAAAGGUCAACUGAUACUGUGCGACUAGAGUGCAGAAGGGGCAACUGGAAUUCUUGGUGUAGCGGUGAAAUGCGUAGAUAUCGGGAGGAACACCUGUGGCGAAGGCGGCCCCCUGGUUGGAUACUGACGCUGAGACGCGAAAGCGUGGGGAGCAAACAGG